CUCACCAUUUUGCAUUGUAACGCGGAUGUGACCUACUUAGAGAAUUUACACUCGGUUACGUCGACAGUUUGAAAUCAUACAUUGCUCGAUUUCACAACAUUUUGUGACUUGAGACAAAAUGGCAUGCUGAGCCUUACGCAGAAGGUGUAUGUGAGAGCAAGGAACGACAACUCUGCGUGGAGAUUGAUGAUGUCGAUGAUCCGAAUUGAUUCUCAGCAAUGUUGCAUGGUGCAAUCGAGCAAAAGAACUAUGCGCGCACAUCGAGAAGAUAUGUGACAUGAAAAUAUACACAUCUUCAGUGGCUAUAAACCGUCUCGAUUCGAUGAGAAUUUUAUCAAAGCAUUUACGUGUAACAUAUAUGCCGAAAUUUAUUUGAA